UACGUAGGGUGCAAGCGUUGUUCGGAAUCAUUGGGCGUAAAGCGCGUGUAGGCGGUCCAGUAAGUCGGGUGUGAAAUCCCUGGGCUCAACCGAGGAAGUGCAUCCGAAACUAGUUGGCUGGAAGACGGUAGAGGAAGGUGGAAUUCCUAGUGUAGAGGUGAAAUUCGUAGAUAUUAGGAGGAAUACCGGUGGCGAAGGCGGCCUUCUGGACCGUACUUGACGCUGAGACGCGAAAGCGUGGGGAGCAAACAGG
rnacentral:rRNA from 1 species